GCCAAAUCGCGAUGAAACCGGUUCCUGUACGAUCAGCGAAGUUAAGCAAUGUAGAAACUGGUCAGUACCUUGAUGGGUGACCGUUUGGAAAUACCAGGUGCUGCAGG